GUCGCGCGGCGGCGGCGGCGGCUGCGGGAUGUUCACCGUGGGCGCGGAAAGUCUGCUCCAGCAGGCCAGGGAGAUCCAGGCCGAGGAGCUGGGGAAGUUCUGUUCCCGCAUCUGCAAGCUGCUGCGCGAGGAAGACUUGGGGCCCGAUGCGGUCGACUGUCUGCGGAGGCUUUUCCUCAUUGUCUCGGCCACCAAGUAUAACCGCAGGCUGGACAAGACAUGCGUGGACUUGCUACAGGCCACCCUCUGCUUGCCUGCAUGCCCCGAGCCACUCCAGGUUCUCUGUGCUGCCAUCCUGAGAGAGAUGUCACCCUCUGACAGCCUGACUCUGUCCUGUAACCACACCCAGAACACCCGGCAGCUGAGCCUGGUGGCUUCCGUGCUUUUGGCCCAGGGUGACAGAAGAGAGGAGGUCAGCAUGGUGGCCCAGCACAUCCUGAGAGCCCUGGAGAGCCGGCAGCCCGAGGGGCCCAGUCUCAGGCACCUCCUCCCCGUCAUGUCGAAGGUCGUGGGCCUUAGCCCAGGCGCCCUCCAGGAGGACCAGACCACCCUGCUCAGCAAGAGGCUCAUUGACUGGCUCCGCUACGCCAGCGUCCAGCAAGGGCUCCCGCACUCCGGUGGCUUCUUCUCCACGGCCAGAGCCCGGCAGCCGGGCCCCAUCACCGAGGUGGAUGGGGCAGUGGCCACAGACUUCUUCACGGUGCUGUCCAUGGGCCACCACUUCACGGAGGACCAGUGGCUGAACGUGCAGGCCUUCUCCAUGCUGCGGGCCUGGCUACUGCACAGCGGCCCCGAGGGCCCAGGUGCCCCAGACUCAGACGACAAGUCGGAGCUGGAGGGCUCCACCCUGUCGGUGAUCUCUGCCACCUCCACCGCUGGCCGCCUGCUGCCCCCCCGGGAGCGGCUGAGGGAGGUGGCCUUUGAGUACUGCCAGCGCCUCAUAGAGCAAAGCACCCGGCGAGCCCUGAGGAAAGGGGACUCUGACCUGCAGAAAGCUUGCUUGGUGGAAGCCGUGCUGGUCCUGGAUGUGCUGUGCCGGCAGGACCUGUCCUUCCUCUACCGAACCCUGUCCUGCCUGAAGGCCCUGCACGGGCGGCUGAGCGGGGACCCGGCCUGUGUGCGGGUGCUGCUGCCUCUGGCCCGGUUCUUCCUGACGCACGGGGAGGCGGCUGCAGUGGACUCAGAAGCCGUGUACCAGCACCUGUUCACCAGGGUCCCAGCUGAGCUCUUCCACAGCCCCAUGCUGGCCUUCGAGUUCAUCCAGUUCUGCAGGGACAACCUCCACCUGUUCGGCAGGAACCUCAGCAUCCUUACGCUGAGCUUCCCCAACCUCUUUAAGUUCCUGGCCUGGAACAGCCCAGCACUCACCGCCGAGUUCGUGGCGCUCCUCCCGGUUCUGGUGGAUGCCAGCACAGCCGUGGAGAUACUGCACGCGCUGCUCGACCUGCCCUGCCUGACCGCGGCCCUGGACCUGCAGCUCAGGUCCUUGCCAGCUCUAUCCGAGAGGCCGCUCUGGGACACCUCCCUCAGGAGCCCCAGCUGCCUGGAGGCCUUCCGGGACCCACAGUUCCAGGGUCUCUUCCAGCACCUGCUGCGCCCCAAGGCCAGCGGCACCACAGAGAGGUUGGCACCACUCUACCAGUUGCUGCAGCCCAUGGCCAGCUGUGCCCGGGUAGCCCAGUGCUCUGAGGCCGUGCCCACCCUGCUCCAUGCGUACUUCGCAGCAGUGACCCAGGUCGCCAGUGGGGCCCUGACCGACCAGCUGGUGCUCGUGCUCCUGGAGAGGAGCGACUCGCUUUACCGAGUCCCACAGUUCGAGGCCCGCGUGCACAGGGUGCUGAGCUCCCAGUUCCUGGCCCUGUGCAAGCUGAAGCCCUCCCUGGUGGUGGAGCUGGCGAGACACCUCCUGGAGUUCCUGGGCAGCGUGAGCGGUGUCCACAGCAGAGCGAGCAUGGUCACCAGCGUGGUGUGGGCUGUUGGCGAAUACCUGUCAGUGACGUAUGACCGGAGGUGCACCGUGGAGCAGAUCAACAAGUUCUUUGAAGCCUUGGAGGCCCUGCUGUUCGAGGUCACCCAGUCCCGCCCCUCUGCUACCCUGCCCAAGUGUCCACCACAGGUUGUCACCGUGCUUAUGACCACACUGACCAAGCUGGCCUCCCGGAGCCAAGACCUAAUCCCCAGGGUCUCUCUGUUGCUGUCAAAGAUGAGGACACUGGCCCAGAGCCCUGCUGCCAGCUCCCCGCACGGUGAGGAGGGCGCGGAAGCCAUCCACACCCGGGCCACUGAACUGCUGAACCUCCUGAAGAUGCCCAGCGUGGCCCAGUUCGUGCUCACACCGAGCGCGGAGGUGGGCAGCCCCCGUUAUCACCGCGACGUCAACACGGCCCUGCCCCUGGCCCUGCGCACGGUCAGCCGGCUGGUGGAGAAGGAGGCCAGCCUCCUGCCAGGGUGAAGAGACAGUGACCAGGUGGAUGCCAGCCACAGACUAAGGGCCACACGGCCAGCUUUAGUGAUGAGAGGAGUACCAGUCCUCCUGGAUGGGGGCCCGGUGUCCUCAGACGCAGCAGGACGUGUCCUGAAAAGGUGAUGCCACCACAUGGGAACUCAACUCAGCCAAUUAACAAACACAAACAAAUGGCUUGAUGAUGUUGGC